rnacentral:rRNA from 1 species
UACCCGAUGUGCCGAAAGGUGAAAGGAUUAAUUGCCUGAGGAUGAGCUCGCGUCUGAUUAGCUAGUUGGAGGGGUAAAAGCCCACCAAGGCGACGAUCAGUAGCUGGUUUGAGAGGAUGAUCAGCCCCACUGGGGCUGAGACACGGCCCAGACUCCUUCGGGAGGCAGCAGUGGGGAAUUUUUCGCAAUGGGGGAAAGCCUGACGGAGCAAGACCGCGUGAGGGAAGACGGCCUACUGGUUGUAAACCUCUUUUGAUAGGGAAGAACACAAUGACGGUACCUAUCGAAUCAGCCUCGGCUAACUCCGUGCCAGCAGCCGCGGUAAUACGGAGGAGGCAAGCUUUAUCCGGAAUUAUUGGGCGUAAAGCGUCCGUAGGUGGAUUUUCAAGUCAUUUGUUAAAGGGUGGAGCUUAACUCCAUAAAGGCAAUUGAAACUGAAUGUCUAGAGGGCGAUAGGGGCAAGGGGAAUUCCCAGUGUACCGGUGAAAUGCGUAAAUAUUGGAAAGAACAUCGGUGGCAAAAGCCCCUUGCUGGGUCUGCACUGACACUGAGGGACAAAAGCUAGGGGAGCAAAGGGGAUUAAAUACCCCUG